rnacentral:rRNA from 1 species
AAACAAUGGCUAAUGCCGGAUACGCAUGGAACCGCAUGGUUCCGUUGUGAAAGGCGCUGUAAGGCGCCACUAAAAGAUGAGGGUGCGGAACAUUAGUUAGUUGGUGAGGUAAUGGCCCACCAAGACUAUGAUGUUUAGCCGGGUCGAGAGACUGAUCGGCCACAUUGGGACUGAGACACGGCCCAAACUCCUACGGGAGGCAGCAGCC